rnacentral:rRNA from 1 species
ACUCAAAUGAAUUGACGGGGGCCCGCACAAGCGGAGGAACAUGUGGUUUAAUUCGAUGAUACGCGAGGAACCUUACCCGGGCUAGAACGUAGAAGGAAUAUAUGGGAAACUGUAUAGCCGCAAGGCCGUCUACGAGGUGCUGCAUGGUUGUCGUCAGCUCGUGCCGUGAGGUGUCGGCUUAAGUGCCAUAACGAGCGCAACCCUUAUUGUUAGUUGCCAGCGGGUCACGCCGGGGACUCUAGCAAAACUGCCUGCGUAAGCUGUGAGGAAGGUGGGGAUGACGUCAAAUCAGCACGGCCCUUACGUCCGGGGCGACACACGUGUUACAAUGGGGGGUACAGAGGGUCGCUACUGCGCGAGCAGAUGCCAAUCUCAAAAACCUCUCUCAGUUCGGAUCGAAGUCUGCAACUCGACUUCGUGAAGUUGGAUUCGCUAGUAAUCGCGCAUCAGCCAUGGCGCGGUGAAUACGUUCCCGGGCCUUGCACACACCGCCCGU